CUCCCCUACUCAUGCUCUGCUGGGAGCACAUAGACAACACAGAACCAUUUCCUGUAGUGGAACCGGCAGCAGGAGAAACAGCUGGUGUUUUCUCAGCUGUAGUUCCUAUUACCCAGAAACAAAACUGGUCACAGGACACCCAGGAAAAUCGAGCAGGUUUAAAAGAAACCCCAUUCCCCCAGGGGCAAAGCAAGGGGGGUUGACUAAAGAGGAAGCCAUACCUGAAGGUAAGAGUUGGAAUGAGUGGUGCCAGCCACACCGGAGUAGGGGCCACCCAAGAGGAAGUUGGUCACCUGCUAACCAACCUUUCACCUUAUACCACAGACACUGCUAGAAGCAUGUGAACCUGCUAUUAAAAAUGGACUUGCUAUCUUUUCCAAUUGAAUGGAAACUUCUUGAGGACAGGUACAGUGUCUAGAGGAGUCUGUUAAAAUGGAAGGUAUGGUCAUCUACUGAGAGAGGUAGCUGAGGAGAGCUCAAGUCUCAAGCAUCAUCUGCUUCUGCUUCUUCUCCUACUCACCUGAUGCUGAAUGGAGCUGGAAGAAGUCAUGGAACCAUGAUGGCUGGAUUUAUUAUAAACAUAUGUUACCAAAUUUUAAUU